rnacentral:rRNA from 1 species
ACGUACAGAACCUUCCUUCGAGCGGGGAAUAGCCAAGAGAAAUUUGGAUUAAUACCCCAUAGCAUAUUGAAGAGGCAUCUCUUUAAUAUUAAAGAUUUAUCACUUGAAGAUGGCUGUGCGGCUGAUUAGGUAGUUGGCGGGGUAACGGCCCACCAAGCCUACGAUCAGUAACUGGUGUGAGAGCACGACCAGUCACACGGGCACUGAGACACGGGCCCGACUCCUACGGGAGGCAGCAGUAAGGAAUAUUGGUCAAUGGACGCAAGUCUGAACCAGCCAUGCCGCGUGGAGGAUGAAGGUCCUCUGGAUUGUAAACUUCUUUUAUCUGGGAAGAAAUCCACUUUUUCUAGAGUGGUUGACGGUACCAGAUGAAUAAGCACCGGCUAACUCCGUGCCAGCAGCCGCGGUAAUACGGAGGGUGCAAGCGUUAUCCGGAUUCACUGGGUUUAAAGGGAGCGUAGGUGGGCAGGUAAGUCAGUGGUGAAAUCUUUGGGCUUAACCCGAAAACUGCCAUUGAUACUAUCUGUCUUGAAUUAUCUGGAGGUAAGCGGAAUAUGUCAUGUAGCGGUGAAAUGCUUAGAUAUGACAUAGAACACCAAUUGCGAAGGCAGCUGGCUACGCAUAUAUUGACACUGAGGCACGAAAGCGUGGGGAUCAAACAGGAUUAGAUACCCUGGUAGUCCACGCCCUAAACUAUGGAUACUCGACAUACGCGAUACACAGUGUGUGUCUGAGCGAAAGCAUUAAGUAUCCCACCUGGGAAGUACGAUCGCAAGAUUGAAACUCAAAGGAAUUGGCGGGGGUCCGCACAAGCGGGGGAGCAUGUGGGUUAAUUCGAUGAUACGCGAGGAACCUUACCUGGGCUAGAAUGCUGGGAGACCGUGGGUGAAAGCUCAUUUUGUAGCAAUACACUGCCAGUAAGGUGCUGCAUGGCUGUCGUCAGCUCGUGCCGUGAGGUGUUGGGUUAAGUCCCGCAACGAGCGCAACCCCCAUCACUAGUUGCCAUCAGGUAACGCUGGGAACUCUAGUGAAACUGCCGUCGUAAGACGUGAGGAAGGAGGGGAUGAUGUCAAGUCAUCAUGGCCUUUAUGCCCAGGGCUACACACGUGCUACAAUGGGGCGUACAAAGGGUUGCAACACAGUGAUG